rnacentral:rRNA from 1 species
UACAGAGGAGCCAAGCGUUGUCCGGAUUGACUGGGCGUAAAGCGCACGCAGGCGGACGCGCGCGUGGGGUGUGAAAUCUGGCCGCUUAACGGCCAGGCGCCAUCCCAUACGGCGCGUCUGGAGCAAUGCAGAGGUCGGUGGAAUUGCCGGUGUAGUGGUGAAAUGCGUAGAGAUCUGGAAGAACACCGGUGGCGAAGGCGGUGGUCUGGGCCGUUACUGACGCUGAGGAGCGAAAGCCAGGGGAGCGAACGGG